UACGUAGGGUGCGAGCGUUAAUCGGAAUUACUGGGCGUAAAGCGUGCGCAGGCGGUUUUGUAAGCCAGAUGUGAAAGCCCCGGGCUUAACCUGGGAAUGGCAUUUGGGACUGCAAGGCUUGAGUGCGGCAGAGGAGACUGGAAUUCCCGGUGUAGCAGUGAAAUGCGUAGAUAUCUGGAGGAACACCGGUGGCGAAGGCGGCAUCCUGGACCGACACUGACACUGAGGAGCGAAAGCCAGGGGAGCAAACGGG
rnacentral:rRNA from 1 species